rnacentral:lncRNA from 1 species
CCGGCCUAAGCUUUGUGAUGAGCAGCCUGACAAUUUGCAGUAUUAACGAUCUUUAUUUUGACCUCUCAGGAGACAGAAGAAGGACUGAGAAACGUUAUAAAUACUGGAAGCGAAUAUUCUAAAUCGGCUCUAAUCCUGUCGCUGAACUGAAAGCAACACUAACAGUAAACAUGAAAUGUGUGACUUCAUUGCACGAGAUAUACUACUUAACGUCAGGAUUUGCCGAGCACAUUCCGACUUCAUUUUGGAGUGACCAUUCCUAAAAGCAAAAAGACAGCAGUGACUCCGGAUCACUUUUUCUGCUGAGAUCAACUGCCUGCUACAAUGAUGGAUGUUUCUUUACUUUGGACGAAGCUGAAGUUCCUGGCUCCUUUCUUGUUUCUGAAGAGCAUGAAGUUUAUGAUCUGCAUGUUUCAGCUGAUUCUGGAGAAAGGAUUGCCAACACCUACAUUAUGUUUAGAGCUUGAGGAACUGGAUUUGUGCUCAUACCUAGUAUUUUCCUGCCUCGUCAUCUUCUGCUGGUUUCAACUGAAUGGAACUGUUGAGAACGGCUGUUGCUAGUGCCUAUUUACAUGCUGUUAAAAUUGAUGAAAACUUAGAGUGCUUGCAAGUACUUAAUGUGAGUGGUAUGCAAGGAACAGAUCACUCUGUUGCCAAGGAUUUUGGUGCUGAAUACUUCGACGCCCUUUCAUCUUCUAAUCCAUCAACAUCUGGAACUGUCGUAUUAGACUGCAUUCCUCUAGUCCUCUAAGUAUUUGUUUUUAGACUUGAUUGAAAUUACUACUUCUUUAUACAUGCUGAGUAUUUCUUCAACUGCAAGGAAAGGAAUGCGUGGGGGAAUUGAAAAUAGCCCUUGAAGGAUCUUUGUCCCGUAUCUUGC